AUCAGCGUUUGCUGACGUGUGCGCACGCGUGCGCCUGCACCUGCGCCUGCGCUCCUGGAGUACGUGUGACUGCGGGGCGGGCCGGGGCGGGGCGAGCCGGGAUGGGAUGCUGGCUCCACACUAGGCCUCGGCCGCCAACCACCAGUAGUGGUGCUCUGAGGCGCCUCGGCUCUGCCUCCAGUUAUGUGGUGCGAGCCGGGAUCGCGUCAGCGCUGCGAGCCGGGUGAAAGUUCAGCCUCUGGGCUGGGUGACGUCAGCGAAGGGGGCGGGACGCCUCGCUAGUUCUCGGCCGAGGGGAAAGUCCGGGCUGUUUCAGUGGAAGCCAGGAAUGGGAGGCUCCUUAGCCUCCCCUUGGGCCACAGCCUUGUGAAUCCAGCCUUCCCCAGACCUCCCUGAGGCAAGGGGUGUUUGGGCCUUUCCUGCUAAGGGGUGGCCCCACACAGGCUUUGGGUUUUUUUCUCCCCCUGUAGUGUUUGGUUGAUAUAGAGCCAUCAUCGUGCAGUUUUCUGUCCAGAUAGAAAGAGCAGACUUGUUUUGUUGUUGUUGUUUUGGGGGGUGGGAUUUCUUUGGCUUUGUACUGUUUUUAAUUUUUCUGGCUGUGCCUGCCUCUUCCGGGGUACUAGCCAGUCUGGAAACCCACAGCCAGGUCUAGUAGCCCUCUUUGCCACCUUAUUUUAUAUUAUAUCUAAAACUAAGCAUUCUGGGUGUUCUCGGUUCUGGGGACGGUACAGUCACUCCAUUUUCCCAGAAGCACAGGGCCCUAACGCUGCUUUUUUUCAUACGUCAUCAUAACAGAAAGGAUGUGUACAGGCUUGCUAGGCCUUUUCUACUGUAUGGAAAGCCAUAAGUGAAUAGGAAGGCAUCUUAGAAAAUCAGUUACUUAUUUUUGUUUUGUUUUUUAAAACUUGAAAAGAUACAUCCCUGCCAACAAUUUUCUGUUUCCCUUCUUUCAAGAUGAUGUAAGGAAAGAACCAUGGCUUCAGAGAAAGGACAAUAAAGACGGCUCUGGGAGUUUGUGUGUUUUUGCUAAGGUCAGAGGUUAACAUCGAGUGUUUCUCAAUCGGUCUCCACCUUACAUUGUAAGACAUGAUGUGUCACUGAACCUGGAGCUCACAGAUUCGAUUAGACUGGGUAGCCAUCAAGCCACAGAGAUCCUCCCAUCUCUGCCUCCCCAGCAAUGGUAUUACAGGAAUUUAACACCAUGCUCAGCUUCCUGUGCCUCUGAGCUACCCCAGAGACACUUCGCCUAGGUACCAGCUGUGCCUUCUCUGGGUCUCCAGCUGAGUGGCUUGCAGUUAACCAACCUGAGAGAUGUCAGCAUGAGGUGAGCAGCAUCCCUUCAUGGAGCCUGGUGCCCAGCCCCAUGGACCCCUCCCCUCAGUUUUUAAGUUUUACUAUUUCCAUCCUUUUUGUGAACCUCCUUCCUGAGACAGUCAUUGCUUCUUGUAGUCACUGCCUCCAGAAUACCAUAGAGUGCUUCUUUUACCCCUUGACUAAUUACUUAAAGCUAUGAAUAUGGCCUCCUGUCCUUGACUAGCUUUUGACUGACAGACACAGCCUCCCAUUAGUCACUGGUGAGCUGCAUUAACCCCGGAGAAUUCCUACUAGCAGUUGCAAGUUGCACCAGUGUAUGUUAAAUUGAUAAGG
ensembl:lncRNA